rnacentral:rRNA from 1 species
UACGUAGGGGGCAAGCGUUGUCCGGAAUCAUUGGGCGUAAAGAGCGCGUAGGCGGUCCGGUAAGUCCGCUCUGAAAGUCCGGGGCUCAACCCUGGGAUGCCGGUGGAUACUGUCGGGCUCGAGUCCGGAAGAGGAGUGUGGAAUUCCUGGUGUAGCGGUGAAAUGCGCAGAUAUCAGGAGGAACACCAAUGGCGAAGGCAGCACUCUGGGACGUGACUGACGCUGAGACGCGAAAGCGUGGGGAGCGAACAGG